rnacentral:rRNA from 1 species
UGCGAAGGGGGCUAGCGUUGCUCGGAAUCACUGGGCGUAAAGCGCACGUAGGCGGCUUGCUAAGUCAGGGGUGAAAUCCUGGAGCUCAACUCCAGAACUGCCUUUGAUACUGGCGACCUUGAGUCCGGGAGAGGUGAGUGGAACUGCGAGUGUAGAGGUGAAAUUCGUAGAUAUUCGCAAGAACACCAGUGGCGAAGGCGGCUCACUGGCCCGAUACUGACGCUGAGGUGCGAAAGCGUGGGGAGCAAACAGG